rnacentral:lncRNA from 1 species
CCAAAGGAGCAGUACUAUUUAUAAAGGAUCACUCCAGUAGUAGAGACAAAUGGCUUUGAAAGGGGACAAAAGGAGCAAUGCCUGAGAUUGGGAAAGUGGAACAAUUCAUACCAGUACUACCAAAGACCCUUUCACCCAAAGCUGUAUUUCACAGAGGAAGAACAAUUACAUAGGAUAUAAACGGACUGAGAUGUAAGAGACACCACUCGAAUAUUCUGUGGUUAUGCAGCAGGGCAAGAACAUCACACCUGGUGGAGGUAGAGUCAGUACUGGGAGGAUACCCUGGAGAUGGCAAAGCAAACAAGAGGAAGUGCAAGGAUACAAAUAAGGAUUUUGUCCAGGAUGGAUAAUGUCUUGGGUCGAGGAGAAGGAAGGUGCCCAUCAUUCUUCUUUAUUGCCAAGAACCUCUGGGAACAUGAACAGCUCCCAGCUAACAGCAGGAGAGGAGCACCAUUCCCAGAAGAUUUAUUCUAACUCCUGAAGCUCUACCUAUGUCUGUACUUUUAUGAAGGAAAUCAAUAUAUAGAGUCAUAGAAUAACAAUGGAUAAACUUCAAGUGAAAAAAAAAUAUUUAAAUAUCAUUUGAAGUCAAAAAAUACAUUGUGAUAGAAGAAAGACAUAUUUUAAUCCAACCAUUUUUAACUUAAAUAAAGGGUGAACAGGACAGAGGAAAAGAAAAUGAAUGUCUAAUAUAUUAUAAAAUAUAUGUAAUGAUAUUAACUGAAAAAUGGAGCACGUUUUUAAACUUACAAGUUACCAUUUGAAAAAAACUACUUUAAAUUUCAUAUGGAACCAAAACAGAGCCCGUACAGCCAAGAAAAUCCCAAGCAAAAAGAACAAAGCUGGAGGCAUCAAGCUACCUGACUUCAAACUAUACUACAAAGCUACAGUAAACAAAACAGCAUGGUACUGGUACCAAAACAGAUAUAUAGACCAAUGGAACAGAACAGAGACCUCAGAAAUAAUGCCACACAUCUACAACCAUCUGAUCUUUGACAAACCUGACAAAAACAAGCAAUGGGGAAAGGAUUCCCUAUUUAAUAAACCAUAAAGAUCCUUGAAGAAAACCUAGACAAUAUCAUUCAGGACACAGACAUGGGCAAAGAUUUCAUGACUAAAACACCAAAAGCAAUGGCAACAAAAGCCAAAAUUGACAUAUGGGGUCUAAUUAAACUAAAGAGGUUCUGCACAGCAAAACAAACUACCAUCAGAGUGACAGGCAACCUGCAGAAUGGGAGAAAAUUUUUGAAAUCUAUCCAUCUGACAAAGGGCUAAUAUCCAGAAUCUAUAAGGAACUUAAACAAACUUACAAGAACAAAACAACCCCAUCAAGAAGUGAGUGAAGGAUAUGAACAGACACUUUUCAAAAGAAGACAUAUAUGUAGCCAACAAAUAUGUGAAAAAUAGCUCAUCAUCACUGGUCAUUAGAGAAAUGCAAAUCAAAACCACAAUGAGAUACCAUGUCAUAGCAGUUAGAAUGACGAUCAUUAAAAAGUCAGGAAACAACAGAUGCUGGAGAGGAUGUGGAGAAAAAGAAACGCUUUUACACCUUUGGUGGGAGUUUAAAUUAGUUCAGCCAUUGUAGAAGACAGUGUGGUGAUUUCUCAAGGAUCUAGAAACAGAGGUACCAUUUGACCCAGCAAUCUCAUUACUGGGUAUAUACCCAAAGGAUUAUAAAUCAUUCUACUAUAAAGACACAUGCACAUAUAUGUUUAUUGCAGCACUAUGCACAAUUGCAAAGACUUGAAACCAACCCAAAUGCCCAUCAAUGAUAGACUGGAUAAAGAAAAUGUGGCACAUAUAUACCAUGGAAUACUAUGCAGUCAUAAAAAAGGAUGAGUUCAUGUCCUUU